rnacentral:rRNA from 1 species
ACUCAAAGGAAUAGACGGGGGCCCGCACAAGCAGUGGAGUAUGUGGUUUAAUUCGAAGCAACGCGAAGAACCUUACCAGGGCUUGACAUGCAGGUGAAGUGCUAAGAGAUUAGUACGUCUUUUUAAGACACCUGUGCAGGUGGUGCAUGGUUGUCGUCAGCUCGUGUCGUGAGAUGUUGGGUUAAGUCCCGCAACGAGCGCAACCCCUGUGAUUAGUUGCCAGCACGUAAUGGUGGGAACUCUAAUCAGACUGCCGGUGAUAAAUCGGAGGAAGGUGGGGACGACGUCAAAUCAUCAUGCCCUAUAUGCCCUGGGCUACACACGUACUACAAUGGCCGUAACAGAGGGAAGCGAAGUAGAGAUAUGGAGCGAAACCCGAAAAGCGGUCUCAGUUCGGAUUAAAGGCUGAAAUUCGCCUUUAUGAAGCCGGAAUUGCUAGUAAUUGCAGGUCAGCAUACUGCAGUGAAUACGUUCCCGGGCCUUGCACACACCGCCCGU